rnacentral:rRNA from 1 species
GCUAACGCCGUGCGAGCGUCGGGGGGUAUACGUGGGUGGCUGGCUUGUGUCGGAAGUACUGGGCGCAAAGCGCGCGUAGGCGGCUUUGUAAGUUAGAGGUGAAAGCCCGGGGCUCAACCCCGGAACUGCCGUUAAAACUGCAUCGCUUGAAUCCGGGAGAGGUGAGUGGAAUUCCGAGUGUAGAGGUGAAAUUCGUAGAUAUUCGGAAGAACACCAGUGGCGAAGGCGGCUCACUGGACCGGUAUUGACGCUGAGGUGCGAAAGCGUGGGGAGCAAACAGGAUUAGAUACCCGUGUAGUC